AAAAAAUAAAAAGGAAGAAAAAGAAUAACCUAAAUUCGUGAAACAGAAACAGUAAUUGGGGAAAACCAGCAGAAAUCCUUACAUUAGGGUUAUGAGAGGAGCUCUCCAAUUUCUCUCCGCAGACUAUGCGUUGGUGCUAACCGGAAGAAGAUCAACACACGAUACCAUCGCGGCUGGCCUAACAAGUGAAGCGGAAAGGGAGAACAGCAGUGAAAGAAAGUAACUCGAAGGGGGUUACCGUUGGAAAUCAUUUUUGAAGGUGACCCACGGUGAUUCUUGUGGGGAUUUGUUUGGGGAAGGAAGAAGAAGCAAACACCGCCGUCGAAAAUCAUUUUCGAUGGCGGUGGCUCACGGUGGUCCUUGCGUUUUGGCCAUAGACUCACAGGUCGCGAAAAAGAGGUGGCAAAGUGAGCGAGAGAGAAAAGAAAAAAAGAAAAAAAAAGGAAGAACACACUAUGGUUGCUGGAAAUCAGUACGGACAACAAAUAGUUGAGGGCAUGGUGUCUUGAUUGCAGUGGUAAGGUAGAAUUGCAACAGAGUAGUUGAAGGGGAGUAGUUGUUGGGGUUCACGGAAGAUACGAUCAACACGUUUCUUUUCUUCUUAUUUUUCUAUUUUGUUUCGUUGUUUGUUUUUUUUCUUUUUUUAUUUUGCUUUUAAUUUUUUUUUUGCUUUUAAUUUGUAUUAUAUUUUGUAAUAUGUAUGGACUGGACUUUUUUUUAUUUAUACAGGGAGACAAAAUUUGGAGUUAACAGAUGCCCCUCUUUACUUAAGUUUUACUAAAGAAUAUGAAAACAAUGAUUUUCAUUUUUUUGUAGUAAAAUUUAAGUAAAGACUUAAUUCCAAUUUUGUUUGUGGCAUGAAA